GCUGCCCUGCAGGUGCGCAUCCGCCGGCACCACAGACGCGGCUGCUGUGCUGCACCUGUGACGCCAGGGCAGCGAGGAAGAGGCUAUUUCUACGCUCAGUGCCCAGAACGGUGGGCACUAAGAAUGGUUUGUAGCCUGACAGCC